rnacentral:rRNA from 1 species
UACGGAGGAUGCGAGCGUUAUCCGGAUUUAUUGGGUUUAAAGGGUGCGUAGGCGGACGCUUAAGUCAGCGGUAAAAUUGCGGGGCUCAACCUCGUCGAGCCGUUGAAACUGGGUGCCUUGAGUGGGCGAGAAGUACGCGGAAUGCGUGGUGUAGCGGUGAAAUGCAUAGAUAUCACGCAGAACUCCGAUUGCGAAGGCAGCGUAUCGGCGCCCAACUGACGCUGAAGCACGAAGGCGUGGGUAUCGAACAGG